rnacentral:rRNA from 1 species
GGAUCAGGUAGGAAUACCCGCUGAACUUAAGCAUAUCAUAAGCGGAGGAA